rnacentral:rRNA from 1 species
GACGAACGCUGGCGGCGUGCCUAAUACAUGCAAAUAGAACGCACAGUUUAUACCGUAGCUUGCUACACCAUAAACUGUGAGUUGCGAACGGGUGAGUAACGCGUAGGUAACCUGCCUGGUAGCGGGGGAUAACUAUUGGAAACGAUAGCUAAUACCGCAUAAUAUUGAUUAUUGCAUGAUAAUUGAUUGAAAGAUGCUAUUGCAUCACUACCAGAUGGACCUGCGUUGUAUUAGCUAGUAGGUGAGGUAACGGCUCACCUAGGCGACGAUACAUAGCCGACCUGAGAGGGUGAUCGGCCACACUGGGACUGAGACACGGCCCAGACUCCUACGGGAGGCAGCAGUAGGGAAUCUUCGGCAAUGGACGAAAGUCUGACCGAGCAACGCCGCGUGAGUGAAGAAGGUUUUCGGAUCGUAAAGCUCUGUUGUAAGAGAAGAACGGGUGUGAGAGUGGAAAGUUCACACUGUGACGGUAUCUUACCAGAAAGGGACGGCUAACUACGUG